AUUGACGUCUCCGCCACCACCUCCUCCCUGCCUUGGAUUAUUGUGUUAUGGAUACAGUGUUUGGGUUUGAUGAGUAACAUAGGUACUUGGAUUGAGGAGUGUGUGACGGUUCAACUGGGAAGUGGUGGUGGUCGGUGUGCUGCGGUGACUCGUGUAUGCUGGAGUGCCUGGGGCUAUCUGAAUACCAAUCAACCACUUGGACCCGCCUCUUCUCGUACUCUGAAGCCGAUAAGUCUGAUACGGGAGUCCGGUCUGCCGCCCCCGUGAAUUAAGGAAAGGCGCCUCGACAACACAUCUUCAACGGGGAAAAAUUACCUUAUCUAAAUUCACGAGGCCAUACAGUCCCCUUCCCUGGCCUGUCACCGCCUCUCCCACGAGGACGUCUGGGCUCCUCAACCUUCCUCACUUUCUUCAUUCGCAUUUUAUGACUCUGGAAUUCUUCCGUUUUGGGUUGGCCGUGGCUGGUCCGCCUCCAUAAUGGGAUAAUCUAGUCGUCUCAGAAAACUGCCGCAGUGUCUGGCCGACAGGGGGGGCAAAUGGGGACUCACCAGGAGGGGGGGAGGAGGGCAGCACGGAAGGUGGAGCCAGCUGCACCAUUAAGUAGGGUCCUCUGCCUGUUUCGCUAUCCCCUCCAUCCUGGCCUCCCUCCUUCCCCCAGACGAUGGAGUCUCCCCAGCUUCUUGCACAGGCCUUUCUUCCUCGCUUGUCUCCCGCUCUAUUGAUGUUCUACCUGACAGAACUUGAGGCUUGUCUACUUG